UCUGAGAUGAUCCUCGCCUUCCCAGUGGAACACCCAGAAAACUCGAGAAAGCGCCGGAAGGGACAGAGGAGCAUGCAGCCUGGGAGCAGGAGAACUGAGAGAGCUUCGAGGAGGACUGCACUCCAGACGAUUUUGGACGUGGAGGCAUCAAGCAGGAAGUUGGGUAUAGGAGUCUGGAGCUCGGGGGAGAGGUCUGGGCCAGAAAUAUACAUUUGUGAGUCACCAGCAUAUAGAUGGUAUUUAAAGCCACCAGAUGAGAUCACCUAGGGAGAGAGAAUAUAUAUGAAAAGAGAAGGCCAAGGCCGAGCUGGCGAGAGGAGUCUUGGAGACUGAGUGGGAGAGCUGGCAAAGCUGCUUUAAUAGAAUUCAGAAGGACGCACCUGAGUACAUGAGCGUCUUAAAAAAGAAUCUCGAAGGCAAGACUCCUAGCAAUGGGACACCAGCCCUGCCACAAAACCUUCCACCUACCAUCUGUCCUGCCUGCAAGAUGUGCUGUGGCUAUGGUAGCACAGGGCUUGUGGGACUGGUCCAACCUGUGGCCUGUGCCAUGACGAGAGGGAGCCCCCUGGAUGACCAGGAACCAGAGACUGGACAGCCCGGAGAUCCAGGAACAAACUCUGGGGGGGGGGGGAGUCAAUGAAAUGAUUCCUAAUGAUAUAAUUUCUUAAGAUUUUACCUAUUUAUUUUUAUGUUUAUGAGUGCUCUAUCUGCAUGUACACCUGCAUGCCAGAAGAGGCAUUUGACCACAUUAUAGAGCUGGGAAUUGAACUCAGGACCUCUGGAAGAGCAGCCUUAACUGCUGAGCCAUCUCUUCAGUUCCUCCUAAUGCUACUCUUGCGAUACUCACAGUGCCUGGCCCAAACGUCAUCAGAGAGACGUCAACCAGCAGCUGAUAGGAGCAGACACAUCAACCCACAGCCAAACACGAGGAGAAGCCAUGGAAUGGGCACGGGGGAGGGGGGGGAGUAUAGGAGCCAGAGGGGUCAAGGACACCACGAGAACAUGACCUCACAGAGUCAACUGAGCCGGGCACACAGGGGCUCACAGGUCCUGGAAUGACAGUCAGUGACCCUGUGCGCGUCUGAGAUGGGUGCUCUGUGUGUGCCUGACGGUUGUGCAGCUUGGGUUCCUUGUGGGAGUCCCAACAGUGUGUGUGUGGGGAGGUGUCUCUGAAUCUUUCGCCUGCACUUGGAACCCCUUUUCUCCUACUGGGUUGUCUCAUCCAGCCAUGAUAUGAGGGUCUGUGCCCAGUCUUAUUUUUACCUUUUUAUCUCUCUGGGAGUCCUGUCUUUUUUGUUGGGGGGUGGAAUGGGUUGAUCUGGGGCGAGAGGGGAAGUGGGGAGAGGGACUGAGAGGAGUAGAGG